UUUAUUAACAUUUGUGAUCAACUCAUCGUGCCCUCAACUUCAUCGUUAACACUUCGCUCGGGUUUAUAAUGUGCCACUGCAAAAGAUACUGUAUUGAUAAAAAGUGCAAGUGUCGCUCCA